rnacentral:rRNA from 1 species
GACGAACGCUGGCGGCGUGCUUAACACAUGCAAGUCGAACGGAAAGGCCCUGCUUUUGUGGGGUGCUCGAGUGGCGAACGGGUGAGUAACACGUGAGUAACCUGCCCUUGACUUUGGGAUAACUUCUGGAAACUGGGGCUAAUACCGGAUAGGAGCUCCUGCUGCAUGGUGGGGGUUGGAAAGUUUCGGCGAUUGGGGAUGGACUCGCGGCUUAUCAGCUUGUUGGUGGGGUAGUGGCUUACCAAGGCUUUGACGGGUAGCCGGCCUGAGAGGGUGACCGGCCACAUUGGGACUGAGAUACGGCCCAGACUCCUACGGGAGGCAGCAGUGGGGAAUAUUGCACAAUGGGCGGAAGCCUGAUGCAGCAACGCCGCGUGCGGGAUGACGGCCUUCGGGUUGUAAACCGCUUUCGCCUGUGACGAAGCGUGAGUGACGGUAAUGGGUAAAGAAGCACCGGCUAACUACGUG